GUGCUAAUCUGCGAUAAGCGCCGGUAAGGUGAUAUGAACCGUUAUAACCGGCGAUACCCGAAUGGGGAAACCCAGUGUGAUUCGUCACACUAUCAUUAACUGAAUCCAUAGGUUAAUGAGGCGAACCGGGGGAACUGAAACAUCUAAGUACCCCGAGGAAAAGAAAUCAACCGAGAUUCCCCCAGUAGCGGCGAGCGAACGGGGAGGAGCCCAGAGCCUGAAUCAGCAUGUGUGUUAGUGGAAGCGUCUGGAAAGGCGCGCGAUACAGGGUGACAGCCCCGUACACAAAAGCGCAUGUGCUGUGAGCUCGAUGAGUAGGGCGGGACACGUGGUAUCCUGUCUGAAUAUGGGGGGACCAUCCUCCAAGGCUAAAUACUCCUGACUGACCGAUAGUGAACCAGUACCGUGAGGGAAAGGCGAAAAGAACCCCGGCGAGGGGAGUGAAAAAGAACCUGAAACCGUGUACGUACAAGCAGUGGGAGCCCCACCACCAAAGCAUUUGCUGUACCGCGUUGACGGAGCGAAGCGACGUCAAACCGAUAAAACAGCAGUGUAAAGUGAGCCGCAGGGCGCUUUGCGCGACAGCGCAAAGGCAGGCGGUUUCGCGUAGCGAAAGCGAAUGCUUUGGGGUGG
rnacentral:rRNA from 1 species